rnacentral:rRNA from 1 species
UGAACGCUGGCGGCGUGCCUAAUACAUGCAAGUCGAGCGAACGGACGAGAAGCUUGCUUCUCUGUUGUUAGCGGCGGACGGGUGAGUAACACGUGGAUAACCUACCUAUAAGACUGGGAUAACUUCGGGAAACCGGAGCUAAUACCGGAUGAUAUUUUGAACCGCAUGGUUCAAAAGUGAAAGACGGUCUUGCUGUCACUUAUAGAUGGAUCCGCGCUGCAUUAGCUAGUUGGUAAGGUAACGGCUUACCAAGGCAACGAUGCAUAGCCGACCUGAGAGGGUGAUCGGCCACACUGGAACUGAGACACGGUCCAGACUCCUACGGGAGGCAGCAGUAGGGAAUCUUCCGCAAUGGGCGAAAGCCUGACGGAGCAACGCCGCGUGAGUGAUGAAGGUCUUCGGAUCGUAAAACUCUGUUAUUAGGGAAGAACAUAUGUGUAAGUAACUGUGCACAUCUUGACGGUACCUAAUCAGAAAGCCACGGCUAACUACGUG